rnacentral:rRNA from 1 species
UACGUAGGGGGCUAGCGUUGUCCGGAAUUACUGGGCGUAAAGGGCGCGUAGGCGGCCAUCUAAGUCAGACGUGAAAUCCCCCGGCUUAACCUGGGAACUGCGUCUGAUACUGGACGGCUUGAGUAUGGGAGAGGGAUGUAGAAUUCCAGGUGUAGCGGUGAAAUGCGUAGAUAUCUGGAGGAAUACCGGUGGCGAAGGCGGCAUCCUGGACCAUUACUGACGCUGAGGAACGAAAGCCAGGGGAGCAAACGGG